GUGGUAGCUCUGAACUCUGGCACCUACUGCAGUCCCCCCUACUCUUGCCCAGCCACGCUCGCACACAGCAGGAAGCCAGAGGAGCAGAGCACAAGCAGCUCAUGACUGCCUGCAGGUGUCAUUGCCCACCGUUCCUGGGCAGCCAAGAGCCUUGGUGACAUUUCAGACUGCCGCUGCCUCCCCUGCCCACCCACACAGAGACGCAUCUCUUGCUCUGCACCUCUCCUCUUUGCACACCUCUGUGUCUGUGCUGGCACCAGGGGCAGGUGCCUGGAAGGAGGGGGCCUUUCUCCAUGGAUUUCCACCGGUUCCUUGUGGCCAUGCUGCUCCCUGUGGGCUGGGCCCUUCAGCAAUCACCAGAUACAGUUGUCCGGGUGGGAGACACCAUCACUCUGGAAUGUUCUGCAUCAGGGAAAACUUUUGUGAACAUGUACUGGUACAAGUUACCCAUGGAGAAGGAUGCCAGAAUGCAGCUGGUUGUGUACUCAGUGGAAGGUGGCAAAGCAGAUAUUGAGAAGGAAUUCCAACAUCGCUUCCAGAGUAACGGGACCAGGAACAACCAUUUAGCUGUGCAGAUACAGCAUGCCCUACUCAAUGACACAGGCACAUAUUUCUGUGCUGAACAAGAUCCACAGUGAGUCAAAGGCUGGUGCAGCACAGCACAAACCUUUCCAGGCAGACAGGGAUCUGCCACCAGCACACA